rnacentral:misc_RNA from 1 species
AAAGUCGUAACAAGGUUUCCGUAGGUGAACCUGCGGAAGGAUCAUUACCGAGUGAGGGCCCUCUGGGUCCAACCUCCCACCCGUGUUUAUUUACCUUGUUGCUUCGGCGAGCCUGCCUUUUGGCUGCCGGGGGACAUCUGUCCCCGGGUCCGCGCUCGCCGGAGACACCUUAGAACUCUGUCUGAAGAUUGUAGUCUGAGAUUAAAUAUAAAUUAUUUAAAACUUUCAACAACGGAUCUCUUGGUUCCG